rnacentral:rRNA from 1 species
GAUGAACGCUAGCGGCAGGCUUAACACAUGCAAGUCGAGGGGCAGCGCGGGUAGCAAUACCUGGCGGCGACCGGCAAACGGGUGCGGAACACGUACAGAACCUACCUUGAUCUGGGGCAUAGCCCGAAGAAAUUCGGAUUAACUCCCCAUAAUAUUAUUGGAUGGCAUCAUUUGGUAAUUAAAAAUUUAUUGGAUCAAGAUGGCUGUGCGUCCCAUUAGCUAGUUGGUAGGGUAACGGCCUACCAAGGCGACGAUGGGUAGCUGGUGUGAGAGCACGACCAGCCACACGGGCACUGAGACACGGGCCCGACUCCUACGGGAGGCAGCAGUGAGGAAUAAUGGUCAAUGGACGCAAGUCUGAACCAGCCAUGCCGCGUGAAGGAUGAAGGCCUUCUGGGUUGUAAACUUCUUUUAUCUGGGGAGAAAACUACGGUUUCUACUGUAGCCGACGGUACCAGAGGAAUAAGCACCGGCUAACUCCGUGCCAGCCGCCGCCGUAAGAC